AACGAACGCUGGCGGCAGGCUUAACACAUGCCAGUCGAGCGAGACCUUCGGGUCUAGCGGCGGACGGGUGAGUAACGCGUGGGAACGUGCCCUUCUCUACGGAAUAGCCCCGGGAAACUGGGAGUAAUACCGUAUACGCCCUUUGGGGGAAAGAUUUAUCGGAGAAGGAUCGGCCCGCGUUGGAUUAGGUAGUUGGUGGGGUAAUGGCCCACCAAGCCGACGAUCCAUAGCUGGUUUGAGAGGAUGAUCAGCCACACUGGGACUGGGACACGGCCCAGACUCCUACGGGAGGCAGCAGUGGGGAAUCUUAGACAAUGGGGGCAACCCUGAUCGAGCCAUGCCGCGUGAGUGAUGAAGGCCUUAGGGUUGUAAAGCUCUUUCAGCUGGGAAGAUAAUGACGGUACCAGCAGAAGAAGCCCCGGCUAACUCCGUG
rnacentral:rRNA from 1 species